rnacentral:rRNA from 1 species
AUUGAACGCUGGCGGCAUGCCUUACACAUGCAAGUCGAACGGCUGCACGGGAGCAAUCCUGGUGGCGAGUGGCGAACGGGUGAGUAAUACAUCGGAACGUGCCCAGUCGUGGGGGAUAACUACUCGAAAGAGUGGCUAAUACCGCAUACGACCUGAGGGUGAAAGCGGGGGAUCGCAAGACCUCGCGCGAUUGGAGCGGCCGAUGUCAGAUUAGCUAGUUGGUGGGGUAAAGGCCUACCAAGGCUACGAUCUGUAGUUGGUCUGAGAGGACGACCAGCCACACUGGGACUGAGACACGGCCCAGACUCCUACGGGAGGCAGCAGUGGGGAAUUUUGGACAAUGGGCGCAAGCCUGAUCCAGCAAUGCCGCGUGCAGGAAGAAGGCCUUCGGGUUGUAAACUGCUUUUGUCAGGGAAGAAAUCCUCUGGGUUAAUACCUCGGGGGGAUGACGGUACCUGAAGAAUAAGCACCGGCUAACUACGUGCCAGCAGCCGCCGCGGUAA